rnacentral:rRNA from 1 species
CAGUCGCCGCGGGAAUACGAAGGGUGCAAGCGUUACUCGGAAUUACUGGGCGUAAAGCGUGCGUAGGUGGUGGUUUAAGUCCGUUGUGAAAGCCCUGGGCUCAACCUGGGAAUUGCAGUGGAUACUGGGUCACUAGAGUGUGGUAGAGGAUAGUGGAAUUUCCGGUGUAGCAGUGAAAUGCGUAGAGAUCGGAAGGAACAUCUGUGGCGAAGGCGACUAUCUGGGCCAACACUGACACUGAGGCACGAAAGCGUGGGGGCAAACAGGAUUAGAUACCCCGGUAGUCCCUGUCUCUUAUACC